AUUGAACGCUGGCGGCAGGCCUAACACAUGCAAGUCGAACGCGCGGCGGACGGGUGAGUAAUGUCUGGGGCUCUGCCUUAUAGAGGGGGCUAACUACUGGAAACGGUUGCUACUACCGCAAACUAUCGGAUGUACCCAUAUGGGAUUAGCUAUGAGGUGGGGUAAAGGCUCACCUAGGCGACGAUCUCUCGCUGGUCUGAGAGGAUGAUCAGCCACACUGGGACUGAGACACGGCCCAGACUCCUACGGGAGGCAGCAGUGGGGAAUAGUGCACAAUGGGCGCAAGCCUGAUGCAGCCAUGGCGCGUGUAGGAAGAAGGCCGUAGGGUUGUAAAGUACUUUCAGCGGGGAGGCGUUACCCACAGAAGAAGCACCGGCUAACUCCGUGACAGCAGCCGCGGUAAUAC
rnacentral:rRNA from 1 species